rnacentral:rRNA from 1 species
GACGAACGCUGGCGGCGUGCCUAAUACAUGCAAGUAGGACGCACAGUCUAUACCGUAGCUUGCUACACCAUAGGCUGUGAGUUGCGAACGGGUGAGUAACGCGUAGGUAACCUGCCUAUUAGCGGGGGAUAACUAUUGGAAACGAUAGCUAAUACCGCAUAACAGUAUGUAACACAUGUUAGAUGCUUGAAAGAUGCAAUUGCAUCGCUAGUAGAUGGACCUGCGUUGUAUUAGCUAGUAGGUAGGGUAAUGGCCUACCUAGGCGACGAUACAUAGCCGACCGGAGAGGGUGGUCGGCCACACUGGGACUGAGACACGGCCCAGACGCCUACGGGAGGCAGCAGGAGGGAAUCUGCGGCAAUGGGGGGAGCACUGACCGAGAAACGCCGCGUGAGUGAGGAAGGUUGUCGGAUCGUAAAGCUCUGUUGUUAAGGAAGAACGAGUGUGAGAAUGGAAAGUUCAUACUGUGACGGUACUGAACCAGAAAGGGACGGCUAACUACGUG